rnacentral:rRNA from 1 species
UACGUAGGGUGCAAGCGUUGUCCGGAAUUAUUGGGCGUAAAGGGCUCGUAGGCGGUCCAUCGCGUCGGGAGUGAAAAGCUGGGGCUUAACCCCAGUCCUGCUUCCGAUACGGGUGGACUAGAGGUAGGUAGGAGAGAUCGGAAUUCCUGGUGUAGCGGUGAAAUGCGCAGAUAUCAGGAGGAACACCGGUGGCGAAGACGGAUCUCUGGGCCUUACCUGACGCUGAGGAGCGAAAGCAUGGGGAGCAAACAGG